CCAAUAGCGUAUAUUAAAGUUGUUGCAGUUAAAAAGCUCGUAGUUGAACUUCGGGAUCAAUGAGUUGGUCGUGCCCUUGGUAUGAACUGGCUUUAUUGGUUCUCACCUUCUAAUGAACCAUAAUGUCAUUCAUUUGAUGUUUUGGGGAAUUAGGACUGUUACCUUGAAAAAAUUAGAGUGUUUAAAGCAGGCUCACGCUUGAAUACAUUAGCAUGGAAUA
rnacentral:rRNA from 1 species